GCGGUGAAAUGCGUAGAUAUCGAGAGGAACACCUGCGGCGAAGGCGGGUUGCUGGGCUGACACUGACGCUGAGGCGCGAAAGCUAGGGGAGCGAACGGGAUUAGAUACCCCGGUAGUCCUAGCCUUAAACGAUGAAUGCUUGGUGUCUGGGGUUUUAUAGUCCCCGGGUGCCGUCGCUAACGCUUUAAGCAUUCCGCCUGGGGAGUACGGUCGCAAGACUGAAACUCAAAUGAAUUGACGG
rnacentral:rRNA from 1 species